ensembl:snRNA RNVU1-2 RNA, variant U1 small nuclear 2
AUAUUUACUUGGCAGGGGAGAUAACAUGAUCACGAAGGUGGUUUUCCCAGGGCGAGGCUUAUCCAUUGCACUCCAGAUGUGUUGACCCCUGCGAUUUCCCCAAAUGUGGGAAACUCGAUUGCAUAAUUUGUGGUAGUGGUACUGCGUUCGCGCUUUCCCCUG